rnacentral:lncRNA from 1 species
GGACUUCACAUGGCUGGCUUUGAAGAUGGAAGGAAUGGACUGGGAGCCAGGGAAUGUGGCAGCCUCUAGAAGCUGGGAAUGGGCCUCAGGGUACAGGAAGCAAGACGACGAGGCUUUGCUGGGAAGAUGGCGUGGCUGGGUGCAGAGAGGCUGGGGCUGCGGACAGGCAUGGGCUGCACUGGCAGGAAGCCGCAGCUGCAAGGAGCUCACCGAGGGCCUGGCCCCACUGCAGCUACACGGGCACAGGUUUAACUUAAAGAAAAAGAAGAGAAAAGAAAAGACGAUGAGACUUUUACUGAGACAUAACUGACAUGCAGCACUGCAUAAGUUUAAGGUGUGAUGCAUAAUGCUUUGAAUUCCAUACAUCAUGAAUGAUUAUCACGGUCUUCAGACUUGAAUGGGGUUGUGGAAAAGAUGGCUAUUACCUGGCAGAAGUCAAGGAAGCUGAGACUCACUUCAGAAGCUGAAGCCUGAAAGUGCAGCUUCGGGAAAUGUGAUGGGAGUCUGGAAAAUGAGGUUCCUUGUCAUUUUAUUUUUUUGACAUGUUUAAAAAAAGUUAUUGAAGUAUAUAGUUGAUUUACAAUGUUGUGUUAAUUUCUAUUGCACAGCAAAGUGAUUCAGUAUCUUUUUCACCAUAUUUUCCAUUAUGGUUUAUCACAGUAUAUCGAAUAUAAUUCUCUCGCUAUACAGAAGGAUCUUAUCUAUUCUAUAUAUAGUAGUUUGCAUCUUUUAGUCACAAACUCCCAAUCCAUCCCUCCCUCCACCCUGACCCUUGGCAACCACAAGUCUGUUCUCUAUCUCUGUGAGUCUAUUUCUGUUGUGUAGAUAAGUUCAUUUGUGUCAUAUUUUAGAUUCCACAUAUAAGUGCUAUGCUAUGGUAUUUGACUUGAACUUUCUGACUUCAUUAGUAUGAUAAUCUCUGGGUCUGUCCAUGCUAUUGUAAAUGGCAUUAUUUCAUUCUUUUUUAUGGCUGAGUAGUAUUUCAUUGUAUAUAUGUACCAACUCUUCUUUAUCCAUUCAUCUAUUGAUGGACAUUGCGUUUGUUUUAUGUCUUGUCUGUUAUGAACGGUGCUGCUAUGAAAAUAAGGGUGCACAUAUCUAAUCAAAUUAUAGUUUUGUCCAGAUAAAUGCCCACAAGUGGGAUUGCUGGAUUAUACAGCAACUAUGUUUUUUGUUUUUUGAGGAACCUCUAUACUGUUCUCUAUAGUGGCUGCACUUUGCCACUUUAAAUAAAGAAGCUCCAAAUGGCCUGGCAUGAUUUCAUUUCAUAGGUAGUGGAGAUCCUUGUGGAGGGGAAUAAGUUAGGAAAAACAACCAAAAUACUGGAGCAUGGCAGAGGAAGGACCAGCAGUUAUAGCGAGCAUCUCAUACUUUUCCUUUAAAGAGAUGAUGGAGUCUCCGCUGCUCCUCAGGCUACGCACUUAGAGUCGCACAUCUACUAAGAGACUACUGCGCUGCAGGGCUUCCUUUCCAGUGUAUCUCUGGAGGUACUGCUGAGGUCAAACCUACAUGUUUGACAGCUCUCUUUCCUCCUUGCCCUCGAAGAGAUUUCGUAUCCCAAAAUGCACUCAGUGGAAUAUUUAUAGGUGUUGGGCGAAAAGAAGUUCUACUAUCGACCAAGUGGGUUAACAAAGAUAAACAAGUUUCUUUAUAGCAGGUUUCCUCAGAUCUUUUAAUAAAUUAUGUGCAUUGCAAAUCUGUAGGAAACAGAUAUAGUCUGAAGCAUUUUCCCAAAACCUUUUGACCACAUUCCCUGUAUUAGUCAGGAUUCUCUUGGUUUUUAAGUGACAGAAAUCCAGCUUCAAUAGGCAUAAGCCAUAAAGGGAACUUAUUGGCUCACAGAACCAAGAAGCUAAGGUAUGGCUGAAUGUGGAGUCCUCAAAGGAUGCUACCAGCGUCCCCCUUUCUGUCUCUUGGCUCAGCUUUCCUCUAGGUUGGCUUUGUUCUCAUGAAGUCUUUAUGUGGUAGUCCCUGGCAGCUCCAGGCUUACGUUAUAGUUAUAAAUUCCACUUUGGAAAACUAGGGAACAGAACUUAUUUAAGUGAAUUGUUUUGAAUUUAGAAGUAUUUAAAUCGUAAGCAAUUAAGUUACAAUAAUGAGAUAUAAAAUGCAAUUUCUGAAGAUCUUAUUUUUUUUUUAUAAAAAUCUUGAUGGCAACCUAUGGUAUGGGUGCAUGCUGGUUUAAGAUAUUAUGAAACUGCCUAAUGGGAAUUGUCGCUCACAAAAAUUAAUGUGUUUGGGAACUCACUUUGCUUCCCAAUUCCCUGAAUUCUUGUAUCCCAAAUUAGUG